GUGACAAAAAAUAACGAUACGGGACUCUUAUGAGGCCCCGUAAUCGGAAUGAGUACACGUUUAAAUCCUUUAACAAGGAUCCAUUGAAGGGCAAGUCUGGUGCCAGCAGCCGCGGUAAUUCCAGCUUCAAUAGCGUAUAUUAAAGUUGUUGCGGUUAAAAAGCUCGUAGNUGGUUCUGCGUGCCACGCUGUCGGUUCGCCGCCUGCCGGUGUAACUGGCAUGCCGCGGCAUGUCCUGUCGGUGGCGUUCGGGAGCCUCGUCUAGGCACCGGCCCUCGCCCAAAAGCUUGGUGCUCGGAGGCCGGGGGUAUACCCGUUCGCCUACUCUAUCCUACCUAGGUGCUCUUUACCGAGUGUCGAGGUAGGCCGACACGUUUACUUUGAACAAAUUAGAGUGCUCAAAGCAGGCUGAAAUCUCCGCCUGAAUAGUGGUGCAUGGAAUAAUAAAACAGGACCUUGGUUCUAUUUUGUUGGUUCUUAGGAACACAAGGUAAUGAUCAAUACGGACAGGCGGGGGCAUUCGUAUUGCGACGUUAGAGGUGAAAUUCUUGGAUCGUCGCAAGACGCACAAGAGCGAAAGCAUUUGCCAAGUAUGUCUUGAUUGAUCAAGAACGAAAGUUAGAGGUUCGAAGGCGAUCAGAUACCGCCCUAGUUCUAACCAUAAACGAUGCCAGCCAGCGAUCCGCCGAUGUUCCUCCGAUGACUCGGCGGGGAGCUUCUUCCCGGGAAACCAAAGCUUUUGGGUUCCGGGGGAAGGUAUGGUUGCAAAGCUGAAACUUAAAGGAAUUGACGGAAGGGCACCACCAGGAGUGGAGCCUGCGGCUUAAUUUGACUCAACACGGGAAACCUCACCAGGCCAGGACAUUGGAAGGAUUGACAGAUUGAUAGCUCUUUCUUGAUUCAGUGGGUAGUGGUGCAUGGCCGUUCUUAGUUGGUGGAUCGAUUUGUCUGGUUAAUUCCGAUAACGAACGAGACUCUAGCCUAUUAACUAGGCGUUUUCCGGUGUCCCCGCCACCGGCGACAAUCAUUCUUCUUAAGGGGACAGGCGGCUUUUAGCCGCACGAGAUUGAGCAAUAACAGGUCUGUGAUGCCCUUAGAUGUCCUGGGCCGCACGCGCGCUACACUGAAGGAAUCAGCGUGUGCCUCCCUGGCCGAAAGGCCCGGGUAAUCCGCUGAACCUCCUGCGUGCUAGGAAUUGGGGCUUGCAAUUGUUCCCCAUGAACGAGGAAUUCCCAGUAAGCGCGAGUCAUAAGCUCGCGUUGAUUACGUCCCUGCCCUUUGUACACACCGCCCGUCGCUACUACCGAUUGAAUGAUUUAGUGAGGUCUUCGGACUGGCGGUAAUCCCUACCGACUCGUCGGUAUCGAUGAACGCUGGGAAGAUGACCAAACUUGAUCAUUUAGAGGAAGUAAAAGUCGUAACAAGGUUUCC
rnacentral:rRNA from 1 species